UUACACAAAUAUGAAGGCGGGCUGGAACCUCUCGGGGUUACAGCCUUGCUGAAUUAUUCACCCUUGUCUUUUGCGUACUUCUUGUUUCCUUGGUGGGUUCGCCCACCACUAGGACAAACAUAAACCUUUUGUAAUUGCAAUCAGCGUCAGUAACAAAUUAAUAAUUACAACUUUCAACAACGGAUCUCUUGGUUCUGGCAUCGAUGAAGAACGCAGCGAAAUGCGAUAAGUAGUGUGAAUUGCAGAAUUCAGUGAAUCAUCGAAUCUUUGAACGCACAUUGCGCCCUUUGGUAUUCCAAAGGGCAUGCCUGUUCGAGCGUCAUUUGUACCCUCAAGCUUUGCUUGGUGUUGGGCGUCUUGUCUCUAGCUUUGCUGGAGACUCGCCUUAAAGUAAUUGGCAGCCGGCCUACUGGUUUCGGAGCGCAGCACAAGUCGCACUCUCUAUCAGCAAAGGUCUAGCAUCCAUUAAGCCUUUUUUUUCAACUUUUGACCUCGGAUCAGGUAGGGAUACCCGCUGAACUUAAGCAUAUCAAA
rnacentral:rRNA from 1 species